UCAAAGUCGCCGCGUCCUAUGCUCGCCGCCGUCCAUGAGCCGAUUCCGCAGUGCAGAUGAGCCUGAAGAUCGAGGUUGUCCUACUUCAGGGUAGUGAGCUGCAGCAUUUUGGCGCUCAGUUGGCGCUGGAGGUUAUUCAGGCACCAUCCACAAAUUAAGUAAGAUAUAGCUCUCUUCACCGUAAUUUUGUCAAGGGGUCCGCAAUGAAAUGGACAAUUACGCCAAGAUAGGCACAUAAGAAGAUCCUCAAGAUCAGCGAUGGCGAUCGCGACGGU